rnacentral:rRNA from 1 species
UACGUAGGGACCAAGCGUUGUUCGGAUUUACUGGGCGUAAAGGGCGCGUAGGCGGCUUAACAAGUCACUUGUGAAAUCUCCGGGCUUAACUCGGAACGGCCAAGUGAAACUGUCAAGCUAGAGUGCAGAAGGGGCAAUCGGAAUUCUUGGUGUAGCGGUGAAAUGCGUAGAUAUCAAGAGGAACACCUGAGGUGAAGACGGGUUGCUGGGCUGACACUGACGCUGAGGCGCGAAAGCAUGGGGAGCAAACAGG